UCCCAGGUAGCCAUACUCAAAAUGGAGGCCCUCUCCAAGCCUUUUAAAGUGGAAAGUGCUUCCAUUUUGUGUGUUGCUGUGUGGAG
ensembl:miRNA Mir294 microRNA 294